rnacentral:rRNA from 1 species
AGGACGAACGCUGGCGGCGUGCUUCAUACAUGCAAGUCGAGCGGAAAGGCCCUUCGGGGUACUCGAGCGGCGAACGGGUGAGUAACACGUGAGUAACCUGCCCCAGACUUUGGGAUAACCCUCGGAAACGGGGGCUAAUACCGAAUAUGACUUUGACCCGCAUGGGUUUUUGUGGAAAGUUUUUCGGUUUGGGAUGGACUCGCGGCCUAUCAGCUUGUUGGUGAGGUAAUGGCUCACCAAGGCGAGGACGGGUAG